GACGAACGCUGGCGGCGUGCCUAAUACAUGCAAGUCGAACGCAGUGGGGACGGGUGAGUAACACGUGGGUAACCUCCCAUCAGAGGGGAUAAAACUUGGAAACAGGUGCUAAACAGAUAUUGAUGGAUGGACACGCGGUGCAUUAGCUAGUUGGUGGGGUAACGGCGCACCAAGGCCACGAUGCAUAACCGGUCUGAGAGUGUGGUUGUCCACACUGGUCAUGAGACACGGCCCAGAAUCCUACGGGAGGCAUCAGUAGGGAAUCUUCUGCAAUGGACGAAAGUCUGACCGAGCAACGCCGCGUGAGUGAAGAAGGUUUUCGGAUCGUAAAACUCUGUUGUUGGAGAAGCGUUAUCUAACCAGAAAGCCACGGCUAACUACGUGCCAGCCGCCGCGGUAAUAC
rnacentral:rRNA from 1 species